rnacentral:sRNA from 1 species
CCGAAACUAUAAUUCACGAGAACUUGGU